rnacentral:rRNA from 1 species
CAGUCGCCACGGUAAUACGAAGGGUGCAAGCGUUACUCGGAAUUACUGGGCGUAAAGCGUGUGUAGGUGGUUGUUUAAGUCUGUCGUGAAAGCCCUGGGCUCAACCUGGGAAUUGCGAUGGAUACUGGGCGACUAGAGUGCAGUAGAGGAUAGUGGAAUUUCCGGUGUAGCAGUGAAAUGCGUAGAGAUCGGAAGGAACAUCUGUGGCGAAGGCGACUAUCUGGGCCAACACUGACACUGAGACACGAAGGCGUGGGGAGCAAACAGGAUUAGAUACCCCUGUAGUCCCUGUCUCUUAUAA